AAGGAGUGGCCUGGGAUGAGAAGUUAGACUAAAAAGGGUUUGUGUAGAGGAGGGUUCAGCCGUUCUUUCCAUGUGGAACCGUGAGAGGGGACAGUCACCAGGACUUUAGCACCAUUCACUCUGAGAUCUGUGUGCUUCCAGUCAGCAGUUUACAACAGAUGAGCUUCACAUCCUGGAAGAUAGCUUAAGAAUUCUGGUUAAAAUUUUAUCAUUUUAUUCAUGAAGUUUUUGGAAUCUUUUGGCUCCACUAAUGGCCAAAGUUGGCCAGGUUACUGUUGUUCAACCAUUUACUAAUUUAUGUAUCAGAGAAAUGAAUUUUUAUAACAAAGAGGAACACAGAAGAGAGAAGUUACAAAUCACUGGGAAAAAUUCACAUUGGUUUAUUAAAAUAACAAGACAACCUUACAUCCAUAAUUUCAGGAGAAAUUUAGGAGGAAAAAAGUUGAUGGGCCACACUAUAAAUCUGUUACCAUUUACUGGCCAUUUUUGUUUAUUCUGAGGCAAGAUUUACCUAUAAACAAUUAUUCCAUACAUGAAGUAGGUGUAACCAAAGUCUGGAUGCUCAAGAUUUGUGAAGACCAUUAAAAUUUAAAUGGACUGGAAUAGCAGAUGGUGUAGCAGUUACUUUGCUAGACUCCCACAUGGCCAACUGCACUUCAAGUCCUGGACCUGGUGGCUUGAAGAUCACACUGGGGGUCUAUCACUAGUUAAAGGUAAGUAAGGCAGAUACCGUUUGAAAGCAAGGCAGAUGAAAAAUGAAGAGUCUGAUAAUCCAGAGGACAGUUUCAAGCAAUUUCAGUGAAGUACUGGAGGAAAUAUUGUAGUUCAGGGGAUCCAGGACUCCCUGGUUUUAACAAGAUACAACUGUUUGCCUAUUAGAAUGACCAAAAUCUAGAGCACUGACUACCACAUGCUGGCAAGGACAUGGAGAAGCAAAACUCUCAUUCAUCGCUAAUGGAAAUGCAAAAUGGUGCAGCUACUUUCACAUAUAGUUUGGCAAUUUCUUACAAAACUAAACAUUCUCUUAUCAGAAGACUGUAAUUGUGGUCCUUGGUAUUUACCCAGAAGAACUGAGUAUGCACAGAAAAACCUGCCAUGUGGAACUUUAUAUCAGCUUUUUUAUUUAUUUUUUCUAAUUUACCAAAACUUAGAAACAAUCAAGAUGUCCUUCAUUAGGUGAAUAGUUAAACUGCGGAACAUUCAGACAAUGAAAUAUUAUUCAAUGCUAAGAAAAAAAUAUCAAGCCAUGAGAAGAUAAUGGUGAAAACUUAAGUGUAUAUAACGAAGUGAAAGAAACCAGUCUGAAGAGGCUGCAUACUAUAUGAUUUCAACUAUAUUACAUUCUGGAAAAAGAAAACCUUGAAAACAGUAAAAAUAAAAAAUCAAUGGUCGCUAAGAGUUAGUGGCAGAGAGGGAAAAAUAGGCAUGCACAGAAGAUCUUUAGAUUGGUGAAUACUCUGUAUAAUCCAGAAAUGUUGGGAACAUGUUAUACAUUUGUGAAACCCAUAAAUCUAUAGUGCUAAGAGUGAACCUGACAUAAACUAUGGACUUUGGGAGACUAUGUUGAUUUUGGUUCAUUAGUUGUAAUAAACACCACUCCAUGGAGAAUGUUAAUAAUGGAGCAUACUGUGCGUGUGUUGGAAUAGGAGUUACACAGGAAUAUUUCUUACCUUCUACUUUUUUGGAGAACUAAAAGAAAAAGAAGACUCACUGCAAGGCAUAACCAUGAAAAUGAUGGGUGAAGUUAGAUUACUCUUGAGAGUUUCGUCAGAAAUGGAGAAAGGUGAAGCUGAAAUACAUCAUUUUGUUGCUGUUAUUGUCAUUGUCUAACUUCUGAAUGGAAUGGACUGAGCAGACAUGUUUGAAGGCCAUGGUGAGAAUCUCAGUCAUGAUACUUUUACUUAGGAAAAUAAAAAAGGAAGCUAAUAAGAAAGUGUUCCUUUAGCUCAUUUAUAUUAAUGACUAUUUACUUAGAAGCUGUGGUUAAAGGGGGGAUGUACCAGCUAUUAGGCCUUGUAGACACAGGCAGCCUGGCGUUUGGCAAGGCUCCUCUUGAAUCCGUCUCUGGUCUCCAGAUGGGGUGAGGAGGGGCACAAAUUGUCUUAAAGUUGUAAGACACAAACUUGAAGUCCAAAGGCGAGUUGGGGCUGGGAUGGUGGGGGGCUGGGAUGGUGGGGAGCUGAGCCAAGGGUCCUGAAAGGCCCUGCAGCCACAGGUAGCCUGGGGUCUGGCAAGGCUGCUCGCUUCGAGGCAUAAUGUUAAAAUGUCCAUAGUAACCAAAACAUUCUACUCAUUCAGUACAAUCUCUAUCAAAAUUCUAAUGGCAUUUUUUCACAGACACACACACACGUAUUAAUUUGUAUGGAACCACAAACAACCUCAAAUAGGUAAAGUGAUCUUGAGCAAGAAGAAUAAAGGUGGAGACAUUAUAUUUUCUGAUUUAAAAAUAUAUUACAAAACUAUAGUAAUCAAUUGGUAAUGCACUGACAUUGAAACAUGCAUAGAUCAGUGGAAGAAAACAGAAAGCCCAGAAAAAAAACUUACAUAUUAAGUCAACUACUUUUCAACUAAGACACCAAAAAUGCCAAUAAUGGGUAAAAGAUAGUCUCUUCCAUAAAGUAUGUUGGAAAAAUUAGAUAUGUGGAGAAAAAGAACCCUUGUAUACUGUUAUAGGAAUGUAAAUUGGUAUAGCCACUAUGGAGAUUAUUAUGAAGAUGCCUCAAAAAUUAAAUGUAAAAUUAUUACAUUAGGUCAUGGAGGAAGUCUUGGCAUAUUUUCCUAUGCAAAAACGUUUGAUGACUUUCUUCAUGACACGAUAUGAUAUAGCAUCCACCUCCUGAGUAUAUAUCCACAAGAAAUAAAAUCAGUGGCUUACAGAGGUAUCUGUGCUACCAUAUUCUUUCCAGCAUUAUUCACAAUAACCAACAUAAUAAUGUAAGUGUCCAGAGAUGCAUGAAUGUCUGAAAAACAGUGAUGUAAAUACAUGAUUGAAUGUAAUUCAGCCUUAUGAAAGAAAGGGAUCUGACAUAUGUGACAGAAUGGAUGAACCCAGAAGACAAUAUGUCAAUCGAAAUAAAUGAGAUAAAUAAAUACUGUAAGAGCUUAUAUGUAGAAUACUUUUUUAAAAAAAUGUACUCAUAGAAGCAGAAUAGAAAGUGGAUUCCAGGGGACUUGGGGCACAGAAAUUGGGAAAUUGUUGGUAAAAUUAUGCAAACCUCCAAUUAUAAGAUGAGUAAGUUCUGGAAACUUAGUGCAGAGCAUGCUGACUAUACUUAAUAAUGUAUUAUAUGCUUGAAAUUUACUAAGAGAGCUUAUCUUGAGUAUUAGUGUAAAUGUGCGCACACACGCACACACACAUCACACCUGACUGUGUAAGGUGAUUGGUGUGUUAAUAAGCUUGAUUUUUGUAAUCAUUUGACUAUUAUAUAGCAAAACAUUUAGGCAUCUACCUUAAAGAUAUACAACUUUUAUCUGUGAAAUAUGCCUCAGU